rnacentral:ncRNA from 1 species
AGUUGGCGCUAGGGGUGCUCCGUUGUUUGUUUCUCUGCAGAGGAGUUAAAUCCUCAGCAUGAAAAAUGGGUGACACGGGCUGAGAAAUACCCUCACUACCUGAUCAGGAUAAUGCCUGCGAAGGGAAGCGUCAAUUGCCAAUA